AUUGAACGCUGGCGGCAGGCUUCACACAUGCAAUUCGAGCGAGCGGCGGACGGGUGAGUAAUGUCUGGGAAACUGCCUGAUGGAGGGGGAUAACUACUGGAACCGGUAGCUAAUACCGCAUACCAUCAGAUGUGCCCAGCUGGGAUUAGCUAGUAGGUGGGGUAAUGGCUCACCUAGGCGACGAUCCCUAGCUGUUCUUAGAGGAUGACCAGCCACACUGGAACUUAGACACGGUCCAGCCUCCUACGUGAGGAAGCAGGUGGGAAUAUUCCACAAUGGGCGCAAGCCUGAUGCAGCCAUGCCGCUCGUGUGAAGAAGGCCUUCGGGUUGUAAAGCACUUUCCUCGCGGAGGCGUUACUCGCAGAAUAAGCACCGGCUAACUCCGUGCCAGCAGCCGCGGUAAUUC
rnacentral:rRNA from 1 species